rnacentral:rRNA from 1 species
AAAGGAAUAGACGGGACCCCGCACAAGCGGUGGAUCAUGUUGUUUAAUUCGAGGAUACGCGAAGAACCUUACCAGGUCUUGACAUCCCCUGCAAGUCUAUAGAGAUAUAGAGGAGGUUAUCAGGGUGACAGGUGGUGCAUGGUUGUCGUCAGCUCGUGUCGUGAGAUGUUGGGUUAAGUCCCGCAACGAGCGCAACCCUUGUCGCUAGUUACCAUCAUUAAGUUGGGGACUCUAGCGAGACUGCCAGUGAUAAACUGGAGGAAGGUGGGGAUGACGUCAAAUCAUCAUGCCCCUUAUGACCUGGGCUACAAACGUGAUACAAUGGCUGAAACAAAGAGCGGCAAGACAGUGAUGUUAAGCGAAACUCAUAAAAACAGUCUCAGUUCGGAUUGAAGUCUGCAACUCGACUUCAUGAAGCAGGAAUCGCUAGUAAUCGUGAAUCAGAAUGUCACGGUGAAUACGUUCUCGGGGUUUGUACACACCGCCCGU